UAAAGUACCCCUGAGUUCAAACCCCAGUACCAAAAACAAAAACAAAAGGCAGAGUUAGCUAUACUGCUGAGGCUGGCCUUGAAUUUGCCAUCCUCCUGCCUCAGCCUCUGGAGUUGCUGGGAUUACAGGCCUGUGCCACCCCAUCCCUCCUCCCUUUUUAGCAGCCUCUGUUCCUUAGCUUGCUAUGAAUCUGACCCUUCCCUAAUCCUUGGAAACACAUUUUCCCACUUCAUCUGGAACCAAGAGAUCUGCCGUGACAUUUAACUGUGUGUAUCUUGCUUCUUACCAAUUAAUGUACAAUAUAAACUUCCAAAAGGCAGAGCCCAUAUUAUAAGUCUGUGAUGGCUCAUCCUGACCUUAAAGAACAAAACAGAUUUUAACAUAUGCACUUGAAUUGGGGUGACAGUGAUCUUCAUCAACAUGGCCAUCCUGGGAAGCCUCUAUUGUGCCUUCCCAGUGAGAGUAAAACCUCAUCAAACACUUCCUGAGAUUGGGGAGGGAAGAAAUUCCAGACAGCCUGAGUGACUGUAAACCAACUGGUGGGCUACAGAGCGACUACUUGGGACACAGAGUUAUUUUUUUGGUGUGUGUGUGUGUGUGUGUGUACCAGGGAUUGAACCCAGAGGUGCUUUACCAUCCUCAGCCACUUUAUUCUUUGAGACAGUGUCUCACUAAGUUGCUUAGGGCCUUGCUAAAUUGCUGAGACUGUCCUCAAAUUUGUGAUCCUCCUGCCUCAGCCUCCCAAACUGCUGGGAUUACAGGCAUGAGCCCCUGCGCCUGGUGGCACUGAACCUUUUGCAUGGUCCACAUGCUGCAGGCCAGCAGGCAGAGGUGUCUGGAGAGCACUCGCGGUGGGGAGGGAGGACGGGAUGACUCUGUGCUUCCCUGCAGGGAGAGGGAGUCCCCUUCCUCCAUAAUCCACACCAACUCAAAGAGCAAACCUCCGAAUGGCCUGUAAAUCUGCACUGUCUCCCCGCUGCUCCCUCUCCCCUUUCUUGCUGGAGUGUGGAGUUCCUACUGUGUGCCAGGCGCUGAGCUGGGCAACACCGUCACAGAAUGGUUAAGUCAUAUCAUUCCAUAUUUGUAAGAAGGAAAAAAAAAUCUGUAGUACAGGGGACAUUUGCCAUGCCUUAUGAUCACCAGCACCUUUCCUGUUUAUGGGUUUUCCCCACAUCAUAAAUCCCACUUCCCCAAAGUAAAGGACAGAAAUGUCCUCUCCCACACACUGCAGCAGCCACGGUGUAGGCGGGUGACCUAGGUUCCACCAGUCAGAUGCAUCCAUGUGAGACUGAUUUGGAAAAGAGCCACAGCGAUGCAGGCUUCGUGGAAAGAGGAGCCCAAGGCAGCAUCUUUAAAGCCACAGGAGCCACACGGGGAAAAUUCUGGAGUUUAAUUUCCACCAUGUUUGUUGGUGAGAGGGAUGAGGUAAGUUCCAGAGUUUUAGCUGAGAGGUGGCUGCAUUUUUUCCCCCUGGUACUGGGGAUUGAACCAGGUCUCUACCAUUGGGCUCUGCCGCACGAUUAUCUUAAAACCGGGAACACCCUAAUCUGCCUUGGUCCUUGAGCAAGGUCACCUACAUUCAAUGUCACUGCAACAUGUCAGCAACAUGGGGUACGCUGGCAAGGAAAUUGUCAUACCUACUUGGCUAAUGGCUCCCAGCAGGGCUCCAUCUCAGCCCUUUUUUAUUUUAAUUUGAAACAGGGUCUUGCUAGGCUGGACUUGAACUUGUGAUCCUCCUGCCUCAGCCUCCCAAAAGGCUGGGAUUGUCAGGGAGCUCCAUGACACCUGGCCAGCCAUAGAUUUCUGUCAGAGUGGAUUCUGUCAUCUGAACUAGAGCACUCUGAUGCAGACAGAGAGCUGGACAAGUAGAUGGCAGUUGGAUCGGUAGGUGGGGGGUUGCAUGAGCAAAUAGAAGGUUGGACAGAUGGGUGGGUAGGUGGACAUCCACAUACUGACUGGCUUUUCUGGGGAAAUGGGAUUAUAGAUUAUAGAUUUUUUCCCUCUGAUUAUAUUAAUUUCUUCCUUUUCUUUUAUUUCGUGGGGCAGGGGGAGUACUGGGGAUUGAACCCAGGGGUGUUCUACCACUGAGCUGCAUUUAUUUUGAGACAGGGUUUCACUACAUUGCUGAGGCUGGCCUCAAACUCCUGAUCCUCCUGCCUCAGCCUCUCCAGUAGCUAGAUUAUAGGUGUGCUCCCCCAGCUCCUUCCCGCAUUUUCUCUUCUCUUUUAGGGGAAGCAUGUUAUUUGUCUAAUAAUAAAAAAGUUACCAGAAACCCAGACUUGUAAUUGCUCAUUCAGGUGGAGGUCAGUUCAGGGCAGCUAGAAGCCAACUCUGAACACAAGGUUCCAUUUUGACAGUUCUGGGGAUGGAAGGCAGGUCUUCGUCUGCGUUAGGCAAGCACUCAGCACCCUCCAUCCUGAACACGGGGCCCUCAACCAGGAGCAGCCCAAGGGGCUCUGGGCUCUAGACUUUCCCACUCUCUCACCACACCAGUCCUGACCGGCAACCCAAGCCCUUCCUCCCUCUCUCCAUCCUCUGAACCCCACAGCAUGGCCCCACCCGCCAGAAACACAUGCCAGGCUCCUUGUGACAUGGUUCCUAUUGUUACCCAACAAUCCCAUUUCACCUUGAGCAAGGAUGACAUGCACAUUGUGACUCAUCUCAUAUGUUCUGCCCUCUCCCUGCGGCACUGACCGUCCCUCAGCUGCCGUGGGCCACGCAGGGCCUGGUUCCGCAGCUCUUUUUCACGCGGGCAUAUCCCAUUGCCGGCAGAGACCCUCAGCCCUGGGAUGGAAACGUGUGUGAUUUCAACAGAUCCCUUUGUUCCCUGCAGCUUUAUAGAAGUCAGGCUUUGUUUCUAGACGACGGGGAUCAUAUUGUUUAUUUUUACGUCGAUGAUUUUCUCCCUAAUGAAAGCAUAAGAUUUUGUAGGCGGGGUCCCUUUGUGCAGUUGGUCAGCAUUUAAUGAGUGUCAAUGGCGGGCCAGUCUGUGUGUUGGUUGCUGGGGUCAGGAGGAAAUAGGGACAAACCCUGGUCCCUUCCAACGUGUUAGAGUUUAAUAGCAAGAAAGACAUGCUUUUAAGUAAAUGGAGAAGUGCUCUGAUAGCUCUGUGUUCAGGAUAGAGAAGGGAGUGGUUGGUUGGGACAGAAAAGUCCUUUUUAUUUAUUUAGCAGUACUAGGGAUUAAACCCAGGGUGCUCUACCACCGCUACACUCUCAGUCCCUUUUGUGUUUUGAGACAGGGUCUUGCCACGUUGCAGAGGGUCUCACUAAAUUGCUGAGGCUGGUGUCCAUCUAUCUUCCUGCGUGAGUCAAGUCGUUGGAUUGUAGGUGUGCACCACUGCACCCCACUAAAAUUUUUUUUUUUUAAAACCUGGUACAGAGAAGCACGCCUGUAACUCUAACUACUUGGGAAGCUGAGGCAGAAGGAUUGCAAGUUCAAAAUAUAUAUAUUUUUUUGAUACCAGAUGUUAAACCUAAGGACACUCCAUCACUGAGCCACAUCCCCAGCCCUUUUUUAUGUUUUAUUUUGAGAUAGGGUCUUGCUAAGUUUCUAGAGCCUCGCUAAAUGGCUGAGGCUGGCUUUGAACUUGUGAUUCUCCUGCCUCCACCUCUCAGACUGCUGGGAUUGUAGGCAUGUGCUACUGUGAAUUUAAGUGCUCUUUUCUCCCAUGUCCUGGACUGACUUUGGAGAUGUCCCCGUCUCUGAACCACUCUGGCAGGAUGGUCUCAGCCAGUUGUUACCUGUGCAUGGGCUGCUAAGUUAUUGCAAGAAGUCCCUGUGUCUAUUUGCACACCAAAUACCGUCUGCCGCCUGUGAUUGCGACCAUUUCCAGAAGGAAGCAGGACUCCUCUUGUCGGAGCAGGUUGGAAGCCACUGAGUUGGGCUGUCAAGCCAGUGUGUCAUUUCCCUUGGGCCCAGGGGUGUCAUGAGACCCGAGGUCAAGUUUCAGCUCCUCCCAGGGAUGGCUAGAUGAUCUUGGGGGCAGCCCCUCGUGACUUGGAGAGCUUUGGUUUCCUCAUCCUGGAGCAGAGAUUGUGAAAAUUAUUUGUCAGGAUUGUCAACAAGAUUAGAUGAGAUAAUGAGAGGACUUUGAAAACUGGGGAGUGAUGCUCAGGGGUAAGGGUGGUUCCUUGUCUUCUGCUUACACAUGCUAUGGAUUGAAGGUCAGGGAAGGUGUCUUUGGUUUUCUUCUUCAGUCCUCCUAAUGAUACCCACUCAUUCCUGUCACCUCCUGUAUUCAACCAGGAUUGGACGUAGAGAAGACCUCAGAAAAACACAGCAAAAUGACCUGCACAGGGACUUAGCAAAUAGCAUCCGGGGCAUGCACGUGCCAUCUGCGGUGGGAGAGGCAGGGCUGUGCUGUGGUUCCAGUGUGGGCCUGGGUAGCCAGGUUAGCAAGUGUGACCUUGGGCAAGAUGAGCACUAAUGUCCUCAUCUAUCACAGUGGUAGUUCAGGAAGCUGUUGGGAGAACUGAAGGGGUUUGUUUGGUCUAUGUGUCAGGCCAGGAGCAAAUCACUCUGUUAGCAUCAGUAGUUGUUACUAUUUUACUAUUCUAUGCUGAGUGAUUCUUCAAACUGGAAAUGGGAGAUUUGGCUUCUGGUUUCGUUUUGUUUUUGCACUACUAGGUAGGUUGCUGGGGAUCUUUCUGCCUCAACCUCCAGAGUUGCUGGGAUUACAGGCAAGUGCUACACCAUCGGACUUCUGGUUUUGUUAAGAAUUAUCCAAGCUGGGCUUAGUGGUGCACAUCUGUCAUCCCAGCGACUCAGGAGGCUGAAUCAGAGGAUCGCAAGUGUGAGGCCAGCCUCAGCAACUUUGUGAGGCCCUAAGCAACUUAUGGAAACUGUCUCAAAAUAAAAUAUAAAACAGGCUGGGGAUGUGGCUCUGUGGUUUAGUACCCCUGAGUUCAAUCCCUGGUAGCCCCCCCAUCCACCCACCAAAAGAAAAAAAGAUUUGUCAGAGUCAUCAAAGAUGGUAAGAUGCUCAGGCCAGCCCUUAAGGUCAGCACAAAGAAGGUAGCAGUAAAUAUGCUGGACACCAUUGCCCUUGGCCGUGGGCUAGAUUCCUAGGCUACAAAUUGUUGAAUAAGAGGUGUGUAUAUUUAACAUCUUGGACAAAUAUCACAACUGUCCAACAUGCAGAUGAUCCUGUUUGCACUGCCUGGCCACAGGCUGAGAAUAACUGUUUCUCCCCACCGCCUUCUCCCAACCCAUAUUUUAAACUUAAAUUUCAUUAAUUUUGAUUGGGUAAUAUUUUCAGAUCACACAAAAUUCACAAAAGGUCAGGAAAGAGCCUACAGUGAGACAUUACCCCCUGUCACAACCAUUCACAUACAUCCCCAGGAACACAAACUUUGUUAUCAGUCCAUCCGAUAAAGGGAAAAUGGUAUCUCACUAAAUGAAUCUCUGUUAUUUUGAUGUGAAAAUCAGUGUAUAUUAUGGAGUAAAAUGUUGCAUUUGAAUGAACUUUAAGAUAAAACAGGAGACUUUAAAGGCAUUUUAUGCUCAGGGGUGGGGCCAGUUGGGCACUGCUCCUGGCUCUCUGUCUCUUGCCUUCUCUUGGCAGAAAAAUUUGUACAGUUUUUUUGUUUGUUUUUUUGGAACUGGGUAUUGAACCCAGGGGCACUUAACCACUCAGCCACAUCCCCAGCCCUUUUUUUGUAUUUUAUUUAGAGACAGGGUCUCACUGAAUUGCUUAGGGCCUUGCUAAAUUGUUGAAGCUGGCUUUGAAUUCAGGAUCCUCCUGCCUCGGCCUCCUGAGCUGCUGGGAUUAUACAGGUAUAACAGACUUGGAGCAAAGUGCAUGGAGUUUUUCAGAAUAACUGGAUGCAUUUUUACAUUUGUGGAUACCCACUUAACCUGCACCCCACCCCAUCCGAGGCCGGGAUUCGCAGCAUCUGUACA